GAGUCAGACCAGCCAGGACUACAUAAUCAUCUCAAACCAAAACCCAAAACAUCACAAAGGGCCAAUGUGAUGACACUGUAGUCACGACAUUCCCCUCAUGUAGUCCCAGAAAUGGGAAGCAGAUUCAUGGUACUGACUUGCCAGCCAGUCUACAGUACUUGGUGCUCGGGCUUCCGCAGCUCACCACAAUGGACAGCUGAGAGAUCAGAACCAAGAUGGUGAAUGACUGCCUGAAUGUUGGAUAGUGUCUUAGUUUUCUCAUCACUGCGACAAAACACCUCUCCUCCAAACACAACUGAAGGUUUGCUUCUCAUUCUGCAUUCUCCAUGUUCCUUUUCCAAAUGGGAGCACAAGCAGGAAGCAUCAUCAGCUUCGUUGCUGUGACUCUGCUGUGACUCUUCUCUCCAAGGACAGUGUGAGACAAACCUCAGCCCAGGAUGAUCCUGGAUGCAUCCACCAAGAGAUUUGCAAACUCAGGAUUAAGCUUAAAAACACUCACAAAAGUUCCAUCAAUUUCCAGUGCAAGUGAUGUUUUGACUCUUUCUUCUUUUCCUCAAGAUACAGGCAGUACAACAGAACUCAUCUGUUCACAGUCCUGGCAUAACCUAGCAUCGAGUUGGAAAAUGUAUAAUCUUAGAAUAUCUGGAGGUUCCGAAUGUAUCCUGAGCUGAAAGCACAACUUCAGGCUCAAGAAUGACAAUUUCAGAAAUGCACACAACUGGACAGUGAGCAUGCUCCGAAGUGCACACAACUGGACAGUGGGCAUGCUCAGAAGUGCACACAACUGGACAGUGAGCAAGCACAGCUCACCUUUAUUCCAUUUUUUUUCUGAGUCUAUGUGAAGGAUCCCUAAAUCAGGGCUCUGUGUUGUUUCUCUACCU